rnacentral:rRNA from 1 species
AAUCGCUAGUAAUCGUAGAUCAGCAUGCUACGGUGAAUACGUUCCCGGGUCUUGUACACACCGCCCGUCACACCACGAGAGUUUGUAACACCCGAAGCCGGUGGAGUAACCUUUUAGGAGCUAGCCGUUGAAGGUGGGACAAAUGAUUGGGGUGAAGUCGUAACAAGGUAGCCGUAUCGGAAGGUGCGGCUGGAUCACCUCCUUUCUAAGGA